rnacentral:rRNA from 1 species
UCCUACGGGAGGCAGCAGUAGGGAAUCUUCGGCAAUGGACGAAAGUCUGACCGAGCAACGCCGCGUGAGUGAAGAAGGUUUUCGGAUCGUAAAACUCUGUUGUUAGAGAAGAACAAGGACGUUAGUAACUGAACGUCCCCUGACGGUAUYUAACCAGAAAGCCACGGCUAACUACGUGCCAGCAGCCGCGGUAAUACGUAGGUGGCAAGCGUUGUCCGGAUUUAUUGGGCGUAAAGCGAGCGCAGGCGGUUUCUUAAGUCUGAUGUGAAAGCCCCCGGCUCAACCGGGGAGGGUCAUUGGAAACUGGGAGACUUGAGUGCAGAAGAGGAGAGUGGAAUUCCAUGUGUAGCGGUGAAAUGCGUAGAKAUAU